GAUGAACGCUAGCGACAGGCUUAACACAUGCAAGUCGAGGGGCAGCACAGGGUAGCAAUACUUGGGUGGCGACCGGCGCACGGGUGAGUAACGCGUAUGCAACUUACCUAUCAGAGGGGGAUAGCCCGGCGAAAGUCGGAUUAAUACCCCAUGAAACAGGGGUCCCGCAUGGGAAUAUUUGUUAAAGAUUCAUCGCUGAUAGAUAGGCAUGCGUUCCAUUAGGCAGUUGGUGGGGUAACGGCCCACCAAACCGACGAUGGAUAGGGGUUCUGAGAGGAAGGUCCCCCACAUUGGUACUGAGACACGGACCAAACUCCUACGGGAGGCAGCAGUGAGGAAUAUUGGUCAAUGGCCGAGAGGCUGAACCAGCCAAGUCGCGUGAAGGAAGAAGGAUCUAUGGUUUGUAAACUUCUUUUAUAGGGGAAUAAAGUGGAGGACGUGUCCAUUUUGUAUGUACCCUAUGAAUAAGCAUCGGCUAACUCCGUG
rnacentral:rRNA from 1 species